AAUAAAUGAAGACAUUAAUAUAAAUUGAUUAUAUAAAUACACAAACACUUACUAAAACAUAUUUUUUUUUACCUUUUUUACAUAUAAUUCCUACAAAUUGGUUAGAGGAAUUCAAAUGAAUUCCAUUGCUUAAAUUGAGUGGAAUGCUUAAAAAAAAUCUUUGAAAUCAUUCGAAUGAGUUCCUGAGAGAUAUAAUUAUGAAUUUUUCGAAUAAUUUCUAGUUCUUAAAAAACGAACAAAUUUUUCUAUUCCAUUUUGUGGGUAAUUUCUAAGGUAAUUUUAUUCUGAGAGUUUUAUAUUCUGGGAUGUUUGAGGUGUUCCAAAUUGUCCUACAGUGAAGUCCUUCAAAUCUACAAGAAUAUCUUUAUGUAUUUUCGCCACAAAUGAUAGCAUUGCAUAAUCUACUGGAAUUCGUGAAGCUCUUGACAUCUACAAUGUCAUUUAUAGACACUAUAGGGAUAUUCCAGGUCAGCCAAACUACCUUGGAGUUCAGAACUUCAGGUGUACACUCGUAACAAGAGCCAUAUCUAUUAUACUGAGUAAUGUUGCAUAACCAACCGUAGUUACUGGAGUAAUCUGAAGUCUACUAGCUUAUACAAACCUUUGGGACAUUCAGGAUCGUCCAUACUGUUGUAUAGUUGAUACGUUGUUAAGUAGAUUUAAGAAUUUUCCAUGAAUUGCAUUCUCCAAUUCAUGAAAAAUUCUUCGAUUGUUGCAUGGAGUGUGUUACGUUUGUAAAUUGUUGUGAACAUUUUGACAGUUUAUUUCGUACGUUAUACUAAGGUUUGUACAUCUGUCCCUGAAUUUUAAUGUGCAUUUGUAGCGCUCCAAACAUUUCAGGAGCGAUCUAGUACAAAACACGCAAGCCGUCCCCUAACACGGACAUCAAAUUGUAGACGGUCUUGUGUUGUUGCCCAAAUCAGGAUGCCCCCUUAGGAUUAGAAAUUCCUAGACCAAACACAAGCUAUGUAAGCAAGUAACGCUGCAAACAAAAGGUAAUCCGCCAGAAGAAAAAUGAUUACAGGAUUGACUGAUGGACCAAGAACAAUAAUGAAACUUCGUUAUCCUGGGAUUGGACUUCGUUAUCUAUUUAGAUAACUGGGCACAAUUUAUGUUAUGUUUUGCAUGUUUGUGUUUUGUGCAUUUGUAAUGUUUUUAUUUUAUUUUUCGUAUCUAGUUCCCAUGUCAGGCCCCACUGACAUGGAAAAUAAAAUGCGCAUUUGUAGGGUUCUGUUAGAAGUUGUUCAAAUUGUGGUACUCAUCGUGAGCACAAUGCAUUUGUAGUGUCCGCACAUUUUUUUUCGUUAUAUUUGUGGCGACCGUGACAGGACCCGAACCUGCAAUCUUCGGGCGCCAAAUUUGGACAAUUUCUAACAGAACCCUACAAAUGCGCAUUUUAUUUUCCAUGUCAAUGGGGCCUGACAUGGGAACUAGAUACGAAAAAUAAAAUAAAAACAUUACAAAUGCACAAAACACAACAUAAAUUGUGCCCAGUUAUCUAAAUAGAUAACGAAGUCCAAUCCCAGGAUAACGAAGUUUCAUUAUUGUUCUUGGUCCAUCAGUCAAUCCUGUAAUCAUUUUUCUUCUGGCGGAUUACCUUUUGUUUGCAGCGUUACAUACAUAGCUUGUGUUUGGUCUAGGAAUUUCUAAUCCUAAGGGGGCAUUCUGAUUUGGGCAACAACACAAGACCGCCUACAAUUUGAUGUCCGUGUUAGGGGACGGCUUGCGUGUUUUGUACUAGAUCGCUCCUGAAAUGUUUGGAGCGCUACAAAUGCACAUUAAAAUUCAGGGACAGAUGUACACACCUUAGUAUAACGUACAAAAUAAACUGACAAAAUGUUCACAACAAUUUACAAACGUAACACUGUUCUAUAAUGAAGUCCUUAAAAUCUUCGAGAAAAACUAUAUGUGUUUACACCAGAAAUAACAGCAAAGCAUAAUCUGCUAGGAUCCGUGAAGCUCUUGUAAUCUCAAAUGUCAUUUAGAUACACUAUGGAAAUGUUCCAGGUCAGGCAAAUUAUCUUGGAGUUCAGAACAUCAGGUCUACACUCGUAACAACAGCUAUGAUCUUCAUAAUCAAUCGCGGUGACCAACCUGAUGUCUACUAUAUAUUAUUAUGCACCUUUGGGACAUUAAGAGUCGUCCAAACUAUCCUGAAGCUGAUGAUGCUCUUGAUAACAACAGUAGUGACCUUGGAUAUCCUGACUGAUCUGAUACUGUCAAUUGAACUUUCAGAAGACUCACUGGACAUGAUAGAUUACAAAUCGUAGCUUUGUAUACUGAAAGAAGUUACUGUCUUUUAACCUUUCAAAAUACUUACUGGACAUGAUAGAUUAUAAAUCGUUUCUUUGUAUUGAAAAAAGUUACCGUUACACCCGUAGACUUUGGGAUCUUAACUCAAGAAUAGUUUGGAUGACCUAGGAUAUCCGGAAAAAAUAUUCUGCAUGAUAUUCUACCCUUUUCAUGCUAUUGAACACCAAAAUAGAACAAAAACGUAGAAAAAGUUCCAUAAAAACGCUUCAAAGGGUUAAAGGAAAUCUAAUCGAUUCCUUCACGGGUAAAAAUCCGGAACCCGAAUCUGGUAAAAUGCGUCAUGAAUGUGUGUUUUUAUGUUAUUAUACACCAUAAAAAAUCGGCAUGAUAUCAUGACGAGUUUUGCCGUGACAUAGCUUCAACGCUACAUUUCUAAUGUUUAGUACAAAUAAUUAUAAAUUUGCGGCAUGAAAUCAUGCUGCAUGUACACUGCCGCCACUCGCAUAACAGUCCCAUCUUUGCUGGGUUUCCUAUUCAUAUGGGACUGUUUUGCAAGUGGGGGCAGUACACUGCAUCAUGACAAAAAUUUAUGAAAUUAUAAGCCUUAUUCAUGGAACUCGUACAUAUCGUUUAUGGUUUUGGUUCCAUCGGUAAAAAUAGUCAAUAAUCAGAUCCCUUGUUUAAGUAAAAUCUUAACAGUUAUUGAGCGAAUUUCAGCAUAACUAAGAGGAAUUCGAAUGAAUGCCUGUGAAUAGUUUGAGCUACAGUUUAAAUGAAUUCCCGAGAGCCACUUCAGUGAAUUCUAAAUUAAAAUUAAGGCUCUUGCGGUCAAUUCAAACGUAUUACUACUGAGUAGAAUUUUGAAUGAAUUCUCAACAGCAGUUUGAACUUUUAACAAAAAUCCUGCGAAUAGUUCGUAUAAAUUUAGUUGAAAACAAUUUGAGUGAACUUCUUUUUAUACAUUUUUUUUCACUGUAAAUGAGGUUCACUUUGUAACAGUAUUUCCAACAAUCUGCAACAUCUGAAAAAAAAAAAUUGAUGACCUAAGCUUCAUAUUUUAGUGAAAGAUUCUUUGCUUUUCCUUAAAAGGCAAAUUUUCUUAGCACCCAACAUAUACCAAUUGAACUGGAAGCUGGCCAGUUGGCCAGCUGAACGAAUACUAUUAGCAUCAUUCAAAUUUGGCCCAGUUCAGUGCAAUCCCCCACCACCCGUGCGACAGCGUUAAACUAGGACGAGCAUACAAUCCCCAUCGUUAUCUCGUCCUGUCAGCUAGAAGAAAUCCAAAUGAAAAGCAAACCUACAACAACUAGUCCAAGGAUCCUUCGCUUUUCCUUUCUUCCAUUGCUCCACUAAUCCUUUGUCGCUAGGUACUACACAGACAUGGUCAAAUGGCCAUUCUUCUCAAAUGGUAAGCCCUAGCACGACUGGCGGCGCUAUCGACCAGCCAGAGACGGUCUUCAUUUGUCCAUCUCUGGGGCAAUUAACCCAUUGACCCAUUCACACUUUUCUCCCGCCUGUGUGUAAUCGAAUCGGAAAACGCAGUCAGACUGUGAGUGAGUGGGAUAUUGAAUAAGUAAUACUCUAUUUGCUCGUUCAGGCGAUCCGACCUGUAUACACUCCAAAGUGCAGGCGAAGGCGGCCCGGCGUGGCAGGUUGACUGACUAUGACUGAUUGAUGCGCGCACAUUAGGAGCUAGGUUGUCGCUUCCUGCCACUUUGCUGGAGAGGAAAUUGGGUCAUGUUUACUCUGCCUCUGCAUGGUUGCCUGCGAGAAACGUAUGCGUUUUGAAUCACCACCGACCGAAAACGGUACCAUUAAAAUCCAAUUCGCCCAAUUUCACACGUAGUAAACUGAAUGCAUCGUUGCUGCUGCUGCUGCUGCGGUGACGACGAAGACGACGACAGCCCACCAUACAACAACUCCAAUUAGAUCUUCUUUACCACCUCCAAAGAGACUGAGAGAAGCCAAUUAUUAUGCGAUGCACAUUCGCCGGCAAUUUCUUUGUUUUCGAUUUUCGGGGUGGUUCAAUGACUUCAACACGUUAGGUAUUGGGUACACCCAAAUCCCAAAUACAUUACAAUUUGACUAUAAACCUAUGACAUAUGCAAAAAAAAACAGAAAGUGGUUUCUGAAUAAACGACAUGUGAUAUCAUAUUCGAAAACUCAUUUUUGAAGCUAAAAACAUGUAGGGGGGCAUCCAUUAAGUACGUCACGGUCCAAGGGGGGAGGGGGGUUUGUGAAAGUGUGACGAGCCAUGUAUUAGGUAUAGGAAAAACCCGUACGAAGGGGGGAGGGGGGUCGAAAAUUCCCAAUUUUAGCGUGACGUACUUAAUGGAUGCUCCCUAGUAAUCAUCCGCAUAGUCUUGAAACUCUAGGCCUUUGUACAGCCGACAUUUGAGCGUGUGAGAAUCUUUCUCUGUAAUGAUUAUUCAACAACUGUAUUCAUUAUUUGUAUACACUUUAUUACCGAUACUUCAAUAUUACAUACAAUGAUUCACACUCCAGACAACAAUAACAACAUCUCAACAUAUGACAGAUACUCAAUGUAAACAUACACGCUAAACGUAAUACAGUAAUACAAUAAUUUAUUAUGUGCAUACCACAAGGUACCACAUCUCGUUUUUUCUCCAGAUUCGCAGCAAGGUCACUCCACGUUGUUUUCGCUUAUAGUCUCCUCAGUUUAUGAACGUCUCGCUUCAGUCUCACAUCAGAAUUAGUAGUACAGUCAUCCAUUUGGUCAUCCAUCUCUGCUCGGCAUUUUGGUAAAUUACUUCUCCCUUAUUUAUGGUUGUACCUAAAAAGAAAUAUUAUUUUGACCCAAGUAUUUUCCCAAAUCCCAAAAUAUUUUUAAUACUGAGUGUCAAGCUAAAUAUUACCUUUGCUGAUGAAUUAAUUGAAUUGCUUUCCUCUUCUCCAAUGUUUUCAAUGACAGCUAGCAUGCAAACAUUGUAUACUGCCCACUGAUAUUUUUUUUGACAUGUCCCUUCAUAGAAGAAUCUCAUACAAAAGGUAUGGAUAUUCAGAUUAUUAUUCAGACAUUUUUUUUAACUAAUAUGUCGGAACACUGCACGAAUAUUACAGUGGAAAAAUUAUCAAUAUCCAUUAACUCGUUUUCGAUCCAAAGUGUCCAAGUGUCAUACAAACACUAUUUCAUUUUUAUGUUUUUUUUAUCGAUCUUCGCUGAAACUCGUUUCUUAUUCAGAAUAUAUUCAGAAGUUUGGCUUUACAGAUUUUGUUUUGUAAAUAUCGAAGGGAUUGAUACUUUUUUAAAUCAAAUCACGAUUUCAAAAAACGUCACUUGUCCAAAGCAAUAUUUGUAAUACUAGUUUUAGCUAAAUAGUAAUUUGAAAACUUGAAAACAUCCAGUUUUUGAAUUAUAUUUAAUAUGUUCACAAAACUCGCACCCGUACUAGCUGUUGUAAUCCUAUAAUUAUCUCAAAUUCUUAAUACAUACAUCAUCGUCGCAGUACCAAAUCGAAGUCACGCAUUUAAGCACAUGCAAAGUUGCAGUUAUUGUGACGUAAAUUUAAACCGGUUGCUGGUAUUGCGCACCAUUAAGCUACUUAAGAGCUGAAAAUAACACUAAUCUAAAUCGAGUUGCUAUGUUUAUAAGUAGGUUAAACAUCAAUUUUCGCACCGCCAGUAGCCAAUUAUUAUAUACAAAGCAAUUUUCUCCAGAUAACAAAAUAAAUCGAUCAUCUUAUUGAAGCACUUUUCGACGGUUCAUCUAUACCUAUACCUAUAGGUGUCCACGUUUUUAGGAAUCAUAUUUCCGAUAAUUUCGGAAUUCUCAUGAUUUACCAUUUACCUUUCAAACUGAAUGAGUUUAUUUUUACGGUUUGGUCGCUCAAUAGGUUUACAUUCUACGAUGCAUAUUUUCCCGCAUUAACUGGUGAUUCGUGCUCAAUCAAACCUAUUUUAACAUUACAAAACCAAAAAUUUGUUCCUUUGAUGUCGCUCUUUUGGGUUCUGAACUGUAGGACUUAUUUUAAUGGUGUACCUCCAAAAUAUUGCAAAAGCCCCAUGUUAUGUUCUCACUCUAGAUACCUAAUGAAGCUAUUUCAGCGAGCCUUUUUCAAAUUAUUCGCAUUCAAUGUAGCGUCAAAAUUUAGAACCAUUUAUCUUUAAGUAACUCUGAUUUUCUACAUAUGCUCAUCAUACAUAUUGAUAAUAUUCUCAGUUCGUUGGAUUGGACUAGAAUGUUCUGCAUUUUUGCAAAGCCCAAUCAUCUGUCUAUCAUAUCACUUAUUUCACAUCUUUUCGAUGAAAUACAUCCUCAUUUUUUUAACGCUUACAAGUCUGACGUAUUUAGUGCACACUGACCAUGAUUGUCUGUGUCAUGAUGGCGCUUACGCUUGCCUCUACGAUUCAUUUCUAUGUACUGAAACAAUUUAAAGCACGUUUUUAUUCAAAUUUUCAAUGAACUUAUUAACACAAAUAUCACUCAUACAUGUACACACAUUUUUAUUGGUAAAAAUCCAUGGAUAUAAAUUUUACUUGUACACACAUACUCGUUUUCCACGCUGGAUCACACAUAAAAUCGAUGGACCUUAUAUGAACUAUGUGUAUCUACACAUGAAAAGGGUUAUCUAUGACAAAUUGCAAAAAUCUAUGUGUGCGACACAUGCAUACAAUAUUUGCAGUUUUUGCAGUGUAUGAAAUCUAAAAAUUCAAACAAGGUAGCAUGUUAGUAAAUGGUACCUGUUUGCAUAAAUAAGCUCGACUGAAAAACAAACCGCAUAAUCCAGCUUUCAUUAGAUAUAUCUAUUCCUGCAGUUACAGAAAUGAUUAUCUUUUAUUAUUCCAAUAUCUUGUGCUUUUGAUAUACUGUACGUUAUUCUCCUCAAUAAUCGUUUCAAUACUUCUUUAACUGAUCAAAAUUUGUCUCUUCCUGUAAGUAAAUUAUUGUGCAGAAUUUGUUGUUGAGCGUACUGCUGUACCUUGUUCUCUAACUUGUUCCACAGUUCUUGGCAAGAUGGCCCACUCAUUAGCAAAAAUGGCACUAUCAAGGGCACUUUAUCCAGUGUUAGGCAAUCAUAAGCAAGAUCAUAAGUCAAAAUGCCCCUCCUGACCACCCCGAUACAUUUUAUAUUCAAAGACUUCAGAAGUGAUUACUCAAGAACUCACUUGAAUCGCAUAAACAUUAAGUGGCAUUCAAUAGGUUAUAAAGCGUUUUUUACUCGAAUUCCUGAGACAUCUAGUUAAGCCGAAAAGUUUCAUUUUUUAUUGUCCGUUUUUUUUUAAUAUCCAAUUCAAUUAGCCAUUUGACUAGCAUGGUACUUAACAGGUUAGUGGUUAGCAACUGCUCUGAAUAUGUGGUCUAGCUUCAACGAAUGCUUUAACUGUCAUUUUGACGUCCUAUCUUGCGAACUACCAAGACAGUUUGAUGUUAAUUUUCACACAUUGAUGUUAAUUUUCUUGAAAUUACAUUUUUAGUCUUGUAAGAGAGGACAAAGCAUCAGUUAAAUCAUGUCUUCAUGUUAAUUUGGUUGCAAGAGCCAACCCUUUUUACGUCUCGUAGACUUAUUAUACUUUACUGAGCAAUGAUAACUUCAAUAUAUAUCACCUGAGGUGGGUCCACAACAAACUCAGUAUCUGCUCAGUUAUAUUCGCAUUUGGAACAUAUUCAAAUACUAUUCGUUCCUGUUUUUCUAGUCACGCUCAGCCUAAAGUUUAGUUUUGUCUUUCGCCUUCUCAGCUGCCACUUAAUUGGUGUGAAAUUUCAUUUUUGAUGGUUCAAUUAACUAUAAAGCCCAGAUUGGAGUUCAAGAGAAAUCGCUCAAGAAACUUCUAGAACGAUUCCUGGCAGAAACAUUCUACGGUGACUGCCAUUUGAACUGUCAUUUCUUCGCAACUGCGUACUGCGAUCGAAGAAAAAACGGUUUCUUAAGCGAUUCAGCCAAGGAAUUUCCCAUGCAUCAAGAUUGGCCGAGAAAUUCAUUCUGAUCCGCAAACAACCCUUAAAUCUGCGUUGGCUGGUAAUCUGUUUCUUACGAAACUUACGACACUGUUGCGUUUUUAGUACUUUAAUUUUUAAUAACACAAUUCGCCUUUUACGGCUCUACAAAGAAUCGACUAUAUCUGCCUUGCAGGUCUUACCGCCUUCAACGGCAUUUCCACCUUCAACGGCUUUUUCCGCCUUCAACAGCUUUUCAUUCUCCGACGGAUCUUUCUGCCAUCGAGUUUUUCGCCUUAGUCGGCUCUUCUGCCUAUAACAUUUUUUCUGCUUUCCGCCUUCAACGGCUUAUUUCUAUCUGUAAUCCUUUCCGCCUUUUACGGCUAUUUCAAGAAUGUCGCCUUCAUUAGCUUUUAUCGCCUUCAUUGGCUUUUAUCGCCUUCACUGGCUUUUAACGGCAACGGCAAAAUUUGAUUUCAAAAUAUUGUUUCACCUCUACGCCUUCCUCGGCCAUCCGGUUAACAAAUCAAUACUUCAUUCAUCAUUCAGCAUUUAAGUCUAGAUUUAGGAGCACAACCUCAUUCAACGAGUAUCGAUAUCACAAUCAACAAAACUUAGAUUUUCUUCACAGUUCUUUAUUUCUUUAUCUGACAAUAGUGAUUGUCAUCGUUUUAAGGCCGGACGGGACGGUGGUUGAAUUAACCGCCAUUGCUCUGUUAUUAGUAAGAUGCAAAUCUCAACUUCUACUUCAUAUUAAUGACUAGAAAUUUGAUCGAUUAUUUGCUCACUCGUGGUGCACAAUCGACUAAAGUUUCAGCUACGUCAGUGCAGUGGAAAUUGAUAUUUGCUUCUUCAAAAUCGCGAGGCAAAUUGUUAGAAAGAGAGGGAAGAUAGGAAAAAUUACACGUCGUCCCGUGCGGCCUUAAACUAAACAAUACCGAUCACCAUCAAAAUCUCUCACAGGUUGAUCAUUGUCAUUAGUCGAAGAUACAAAUAGAUUGUUUGAUUCAUAUUGAACCGAAAUUAAACUAAUUUCACAUGCACUGUUCACCGUUCUCGUCGCCAAUGUGAGAAUCUUUCUCUGUAAUGAUUAUUCAACAACUGUAUUUAUUAUUUGUAUACACUUUAUUACCGAUACUUCAAUAUUACAUACAAUGAUUCACACUCCAGACAACAAUAACAACAUCUCAACAUAUGACAGAUACUCAAUGUAAACAUACACGCUAAACGUAAUACAGUAAUACAAUAAUUUAUUAUGUGCAUACCACAAGGUACCACAGAGAGCACUGAUGAUAAGGACUAAUCCUACUGGCAGCUUGUCAAACCGCAUAUUUUUGCACCGUGAUGCAACAGCUCCCGAGCAGAAAGAAAUAACAACAGCAUAAGGAGCUGUGUUAUUUGGGUAUAAUAACUGAAUAAAAGAAUCGAUUAUUCCCUGCCCUUCGGUUCAGAAAGGGGUAUGGGCGCGUUCUGCCAACUUGGUCGAGGCAGAUUUCUUGUGAGAACAAGUUGCAUACGGACAUUCAAAAGUGCCUGAACGAAAGAUGCUACUUGUGAGGAUCACUUGAAGAUCGGAUGGAAGAUCAUUCUUUUUUUCGGAAUAUUCGCGUUCGUCUAUUUGUUGCUCUUCGUGUUCGUAUAUUUUAAGUUUCAUCUUCAACUGAGUUUGAUGAACGCUGCUAGUCAGCAGGGAUGAUCUUCGCAUCUGCAUCCGUUGAACCAUUCUGAAUGGCCGUCGUGAAAGUAUCACCAAAAGCGCUACUAACAUUUCUUUUAUAUUUUCAUGUAUCUGAGUAUCAUGAGUGAUAGCAGUGAAAAAUGGAAGUAAUGCAGUACGACGGUGGUGCGAUGCUGGUUAAAAAUAUCGCUGGAGAUGAGCGUUGUUUGUACUCAGCCAUGUCUAAGACGUGCUCCGAAGUCUCAGGAAAGGAAGCAUGCAUAAAGCACUAAUCUACAAAAUCCCGGGAAAAAGUUGACAGACCUUAUUUCACGUGGAAAUCCAGCGGUAGACAAGAGGUGGAUAUGGACGGAUGUUCGUUGGAAUUGGAAGGACAUUGGUAAUGACAGCCGAAUUUAAGAAAGCGACGAAGCGAUUGUAGCAGGAGAUAGUGAAGUUGGACUACGAAGACGAUUUGCUAGAAACCGCAGACAGCAAAUGACAUAGGCUUAUCGUAUUUCGAUGGAGAUGGCGAUGAGGACGAAGCAGCAUUCCAAGAACAUAACCAAAAUUUAAUCACAACUACCUACCACAGAAAAACAACACGAUCGAACGAAAAUAGGAAAGAGCAACCCAGCAAAACCAGUAUGUAUGUUCAAAACGCUUACCCCAAACCAGCGCCCCAAAGGUAAAUUACGUUGACCAUUUAACUAACAACACAUUCCCUUACAGCUCAAUACACCACAUCGAUUUCCCACCUUUCCCAAUCCUUAAGGCCACGCAAAACUUAAAAGCCGCAGAGCUAAAGAGGUUGCUAUGCCUACUCCCAAAUUCAAAGGUGUAUUAUGGACAAUGCAAGUUCUCGGACUUGCAUUGGAAACUUGGCCCUAUGACCCCCUUGUGCAUCAAUAAAAUAAAAUAAAAAUAAAAUAACUGAAUAAAAGAAUCGAUUAUUUUUAAGUUAUUAACAUAACAUAUUAAGUUCUAAACUUGUCUGUCAUAAGCGGCAAAAUAAUAAAUAUCAUAACAAGAAAAGGUUUCUGGAAGACCAUUUUCAUAACUUGUUUUGUUAGUUUCAAUAACAAUUUAAUAACAGUAAAUUCGGACAAUAUUUCAAUAACAAAUUUUGAUAUUGAUAUGUUUUUGAUAAUAAUUGGAGAGCAAAUUUGGUUAUGAUAUAAAACUCGUAACUCGUAUCCUGAGAGAUUUGUAGUUUGUUCACUCCAACGAUAAUUGAACUUGAGUAAUUUCUUUUUUUUUUUGCUUUUCAAAUAAUACGAGCUUUGACUUCCAGCUGUAAUUUAUAAACUUGCGCUUUAAUCAGUGGAAAACGUUUGGCAGAUUAUAUGUGCAAAAUAUGAUAAAUUUAUAUAGGUCAACUACAUAAGCAAAUUUUUAAUAUUUUUGUAGUGAACAAAUAAAUCCUAACAAAAUUUCAUAUGAAAUCAUCAUGUAGUGUUUCCGCAAAAAAAGUUUAAAAAUAUUUCAUCCACUACUCUUUGAGAUGUAGAUACACUAUCAAAUUUUACUAAAAAAUUUAUAACUUUUAUAAAACUUGUCUUCUUUGAUGUCACCCAAAAUUUUACAAAUGGAGCUUUAAUAUGCAGUUGAAUGGCCAAAAUUUCAGCAUUUUUGAUUAACAUAUAAAAAAGUUAUAAACUUUUGAGUGAAAAAUUAUUUCGACGUAAAAAUUGCUGUACGAACAAUUGUUUGAUACACUGUAUGUUUGCUCGUACAUAUGAAUGACGAACAGUGUUGCCUCCGAGCCAAUGCCCAUAGCUCGAAAUGCCAUCCAUCACUAUUAUUAAUUUAAGACUAUUCCGAAAUCUGCAAUUACCGUUGGAGGUGACCCAAUCGUCUCCUUGCAUUGGUAGUUGGGGUGGCGGCGGCGGCGGCAUGGUCAAUGUGCACACUCUGGCUACGGCCAUAGUAAGCAUAUGGAAAUCAUCGUCCAAUCAAAUGCCGCUACCGCCAACACACACCGCACCGGGCGCUUCUCGCGAAGAGGCUGUUAUGCAACAUGUCAAAAUGCGAUAAUUGCGCUUUUUUUCUGAAUCGCGUUCGUUCGCUUUUCGGUUCGGUUUAUUUUGGUUCAGGCCACAAGACGAUCGACCGACAACGGCGGACAAUAAGACGAUCAAAAUAUUCAAAAAUUCAAAUUGGUUAUAAUUUUCGGUACAAUUUGCCGUCGGUGAGGUGGAAACAUCAACAAUGUGAGCACGCACGCACGCACGUCUAUUUCAGAUUUUACUCUGGAGAGCACAUCAGCAACUGAACGAUACUUUAAUUUGUUGCAUACACCGAGAGAACAUCCAGUUGCUUCGCAGCCCAAACAAAUUUUUACAGGCGUCAGUACUAUUUAGCUCAACAUCAAAUUAUGACAAUACUGAGACAACAAUUUGCUGCCAUAACACUUGGUUUGAGGCACCCUACGGAUUUGUUUUUUUUUUUAAGAAAAAAAAAAACAAGAGUACUGAAAGGAAUCACGGGAAGAAUCCCUCAAAGAAUUCCGGGAGAAAUCUCGGGAGGAAUCACGGAAAAGCUUUAUGUUUUAAAUCCAGCAGGAAUCCUGGGAUACAUUGCUGAAAAAAUAACAGGAAGAAAGAAUCCUGGGGGAAUCCCUCGGUGGAAUCUCGGAAGGAAUCCUUUUAAAAAUCCUGGGAGAUUCGAAGGAGAAAUUUCUACAAGAUGUUUGAAAGAAUCACGAGAGCAAUCCUUGGAAGCAUCCCAGGAUAACAUCUGGAAGGAAUCCCUAAAGAAAUUCUUAAGAUGUCCAUGAAGGAAAUUGUAACCUGGUUAAAUAUAUAAAGGAGUCCCUGGAGAAAUCUUUGUAGAUAUCCUUGCAAGAAUCCAUAGCAUAAUUCUGCAAUCUCUGCAGCAAUCCUAAAAGGAAUCCUUGAAAGAAUAAUGGAGGAAAUACAGAAUUAAUCUCAAAAGAAAAUGAAGGAAAAUACCCUGAAUGAUUCCUCAGGAGCAAUCCCUAACGAAAAGGGGUACAAAUGAAAGAAUCUUGCAAGGGAAGCUAAGAAAAAUUUCUAAAAGAACUGUUUUGGUUUUUACAGAUUGAGAUCUGAUCUGCUGAACAGAUACUCAAGAAGUGAUUCCUCGGGUGAUGUGGGGAUCAAUCCACUGAAAACUCAUUCUCUCUGUUACACGGUACUCCCGUUAGGGAUGACUUUGAGAAGAGGGGGACCGUACAUGAGUACUCUCUAUUAGUAAGCGUUCCACCAGCUAUCGCCUUAAGUUGCCCUCUCUCCCCUGGAAGCUUGAGUUCUGGAUAGUACUGUAGACUACCCGUUGGUCUCAAGCUCCUGGAUGGGAAGUAAGGAGGGGGGGACUCAACUCAAUGUACUGUUGGUCGGCACAACAUUUUCUCUGUAGUUCAAGUACUAUUCGCGAGACAGUGGAAGUAACGGAAUCCCACUUGUCCGCCGCCGCCGUACACACCCUUUCAACAAUGUUGUCCGGAGUGAUAUCUCUACCCGAUGUGGAUUACCCAUAGGUGCGGUGAUAACAAAGAAACUAGUCGGCUCUUUCAUUCCAACGGCGUUCUUAUGCGACUGACGUUACGUUGUGAAUUUGUAAACAUGACGUCACUCCCAUAAGAACGCCGUAGGAAUGAAAGAGCUAUAUUCUGUUCCAUAUUGUACUGGACGGAUAGUUAAAACCCUCAAAGCCUCAGGACAAACUUUUUAUUUUUAUUCAUCUAAUACUUGGGAACUAUAAAAUAUAAAAAAGCAUUCUUCGAUAUGAUCGACGGGAAAAGCUGUACCUCAUUGUUAGCGAAUGGUAACGUUGCUUCCGAAUUAUGGUGAGGCACGUAGGAAAUAAUAAUUGUAGUUAAUCAGAAAGCAACUGUUAAUUUUAUUUGUUGAAACAAUUGAGAUGAGUGUGUGGUCAACAUUAGGAUUGCGUAUCUACCACGACGGAAAAAGCGUGGGUUGGCCAAAGUCCACGCUCCAUACUGUGUGGAGUGCAAUGCAUUAUGAGUAACAUGUCUUUAGCGUGUUUAGAGACUUGCUCCUCAAUCUCCUAACGAACCGUGAACAGCCCUUUCCCAUGUAACGCCUAACGCUCAACUGUCAGUGCGUUGCCAACCAGCUGUGCAAGGUUGGCCAUGACUUUGCCUCUUUCUUCGGUUGGCCGUCGGACACGCCGGACGCGUCAUCGUUCGUUGGAGCAGCACACCCAAGAGUCGAAGCCGGAAUUGAACAAUGGCGAACCUGCCAGGUUUAUUGCGAAUUUUCGCAAUAAGCAGUGGCUUGGACAGGAGAGAAACUUAAAAAUUAAACUUUUGAAUUUGUAAGGUGGACGAAGGGUUCCAAAUACGUGCACUUUGGAGGACAUAUCAGGACUUCAGCAUGUGAUUUCUCCCCAUUUAUUCCCGCUGCUGCUGCUGAGUGAUCUUAGAGUUAAAUCAUCAAGUUUUAAAAUGUCCUCUAUGUUUUCUCCUGUUAACCCAUCUGGAAGUUUACGCAGAAUUGCACCAGGAUAACCCUCAGUACGACCCGAAAUUGCCCGGAUACGAGAAAAAAUGCCGACAGAAUUUUUGUGCUAUGCAACUUUUUUGAAAUGCGCGCAGUUUAGGCACAAAAACCAUGUUGAUAGUGCCGUGCUCUACUAAAUUUAAAAUGAAUUAAAUGUUAAUAGAAAAUAGGAGUGAGCAUUUUCUUUUAAAACUUUUCAAAACGCAUCGUCGAAAAAAAAAACGCCGAAAGCAGUCUCUUGUUGAUCCAAACAAACCGCUCGCGACAAGAACAAUUGUCUACACGUCUCCUUCCCUUAAGACUUUUCCAUGUUGACCGUAACUGGGAGGGCGGAGAGGUAAUUAGCAGCCAAAAAGAAGCCUUCAGGUCUAUUCUCAUUACACCGACAAGAACAUGAUGCUUCGAGUCUAUGCGGUAUUGUUAAGAUACCCAAAGAUGAAUUGGCAAUUGAACAAAAGUAUGAUAUAAGUUUUAAUAUUAUUCUUAAUUCUAGUGGAUGCCAUAUUUUUGGGUUUAAUAGUUUACUGGGUCGACGACACAUGAAUUUGACAGAUCGGUUUUAUUGUUGAACUUUGGCUGAACUAGGUUCGUAGUCAUUGGCUACUAAAACACAAUGUUAAUCAUAAAUGAGGUAUUCAGUUAAAUGUCAAACUUGGGUACCGGGGACCGAAUGUAGUACUAGAGUUGGUACCCAGUCUGAGCCCGAGUGCGACGACUUAAUUUGGACUUUGAUAUUACAGUGAAUUGCAUCUUAACCCUAGUAUUACAUUAUACCUAAUUAGAAUACCCAGAACGGUCGAGAAUCCAUAUAGCCGACGCAGUAUGCGUACGGGUGUUCAGCAUAACCAUACUGAUGGUGACAGAUACGAUUGCCGGUCGGUUGAUCAUAAACUUUUCGUAAAUGAAGCUUUCUUGACUUUUUAAUGGUAUAAAGUAUCUUCUUGCCUGCCACACGACACAUGCAAACUGGCCAUUGGCAACCUUUACCUCGGUUCAUAACUGUGGAAGUGGCCCAGUUGGAACGUUACGAUACGCAAAGUUCGGUAGGAGAAACCUUUAGUCGUAUUUGAAACAGUUAGCAUAUAAUCACGGGGGUGAAUCUUCGUCACGAAAAGCACUGCCCGUUUGAUAGCUCAACACUAGCGAACCUGGUGGUGGAAGUCAAGCUUUAGUCUGCAGCGAGCAUAGGGAGGCGGCGCAGCACGCUUUGAUGAUUUUCUAUUUUCCCAUGGAAAUUCAUUCCAAUCUAGUUUUCCAAGUGACAAUUUCACGACUUCCACCUCGAAACUUCACAUUUGUUCGAAGAUACACAUCUGUUCUGUGAUAUAAUGAUGCUCAGGCCGUGUACAGAAUAGGCGGCAAAGCAGGGGUUUUGCGCAACAUCGGCCAAAGGCGGAGGGGCGCCUAGUACAUAAGCUUCGGUAAUGGGAGAAGUUAACCCCGAAAACCUCUCCUUUGGUCACGAGCUUGAUGGUGCUUAUAGUUCAUCAUUUUUUUAAGAGUGCUGGCUCAAUACGCCUUGCAAAUGCGAAUAAAUUCUCACAAUGGAAUAUUAUUGCAUGACCGAAUAGAAAUGAACCGAUAUUCGGUUGUAGAGUGAUGUCUGUCGGGUUAUGCCGAUAGGUUUAACAGAUCAUCAAUACCGAAGACUUAGUUGUUUAUCUUUGAAUCGAGUAAAUAAAUGAGUGAUCAACAGACAAAUAUAUACUCGGUUGAAAUUCGACCGAGUUCGAAAGUAUAAUUUUUGACUGUGUUCACGGCGUGUGUACGGGAAAAGUUUAUAACAAAAAAAUGGGCAUCGUCAAAUUUUUCGCUAUUCAAAAAUAGAGGCUUUCAGCUUUCAUUUUCAGGGUCCCUCAAAAAAAUCCACCGAGGGAUCCCGAACAACUUUUUCAGAAUACUGUUUUUCCCCAUACAAAAUGCACGGUUCCAAAUUAAUCCCUAUUUCUACUUAACAAACAUACCCAAUUUUUGUAUGAAAAAGUUCCCCCGAUGGAAUAUUUCGAUGUUGGGCUUGAAUGAAAGCUGGUAGCGUCAACUUUCACGUAGCGUAAAAAUUAGCGAUGCCCAUUUUUUUGUAAUAAAUUUGUUCUACCAGACACACCGUGUGUUCAAUGUUGCAAAUCUUUCACUUUCUUUUGCUCAUCACUGUAUUUUGAGCAUGUGCGAUAGUAAUGCGUACUGCUCACGGACCUCAUGGAUGAUCAGAAUCGCGGUCGCGUUUGUCUAUGUUGGAUCGCGGACACUUUUUGGUUCAUUUCGUUAAAGCACAUGUAGUUUUUCGCCACUGGCUUUAGUUUGUGGAGAUUAAAACGACUUCACCACAAUGAUCCGUCAGAAAUGAAAACCAACACCAUUGAUAGGUGCCGAACCUCAUCGUGUGCUAUGCGUACAGAUACGCAAGCAGCUCGCAAAUAUUUUCUAAAAAUGACAAGCAUGUAGUAUGAAUCAUCGAUCGGCGUUAAUGACCAGCCUCUCAGAAAUUGGUUUAUUAUAAUUUUCUGGUAAGGGGCUGUCCAUUAAUUACGUAAGGCAAUUUUUUCGAUUUUUCGACACCCCCACCCCCCUUUGUAAGAUUUUUUGUAUGAAACUCUGAAUAUUUUUGUAUGGCGCGUAAGAUUUUCCAAACCC